UUGAGUGGAAGACACUUAACGGACUGAGCCACCCCAGGCGCCCCUCGCUGGCCACAUUUUAAGUGCUCGGAAGCUCUUGUGGCUGCUGGCUAUUGUGCUAUGCCGUGCAGAUAGAGAACAGUCCAGUCACUCCAGAAAGUUCUGCACAUGCUGUACAGUUCCCAGACUCUGCUCUCUUGCCUCGGUGCCACCGCUGGAGAUAGUCACAGGCCCUUGUCGUUCUUCUUCUCUUGGACUGCCUCCUGCUGUGCUAUUUGUAAAUGAGAAGAAACACGGAGGACGAGUGGUGACAAGCAGUUGCAAGUACGGAGUCUGUGAAAACAGCCUAGUUUCUCUGUUACCUGUGGCUCUUCCCAUAUUUCCACUGGCCCUAAACGACUGUUGAGACCACUUAUCCUCCGGGAACAAAGGCCUCCUUUCAUAGUCAAGGCACUGGCCACCUUGUGAACCUUACAGAAGCUGCAGGUUUUUAAAGAGUGCUCGUGUUUCCUGCUCCUGCUUCCCCUCCCUGCUUGAAGGGUAAAGCACUUUCUUCUGAGCUCUCAAUUCUCUUGAAUUCUCGGAAUCGGUUCAAAGGGCCCCCAUUUCUUCACGUCGAGCUUUGACCGCAAGACAGAUGAUUCAUCGAGAUUGAACGCCUUUCAGCCAGUGCAACUCAGCUCCCCUUUGCGAUCACCUGGGAGCUUGGAAAAGAUCCGGGUGCUCAGGCCCACCGAAGACCAGUGACAUCAGAGUCCCUAGGGCCGGGAGCGGGGCCUCAGCACUGUUCAUAGUCGACCACGGAUUCUGACGUGCGUCCCCGUCAUAAGGCAGCACCGGCAUAUGGAGAGCCACCGCACGGAAACUGAAAUAAAGCUGGCAUCUGGAAAAUCCUCAGAGAAUCCCUAUGCAAUGGACCCUUUUCUGUUCCUGAUGCGACCUUUCUGCCUCAAGAUGAGUCUUUUUCCCUGGCAUCCAACCCAUGUUAUAAUGGAGACCAGCGUCCCAGCAUCUUGCCUUAUGCACAGCAAUAAUAAAUUGAAGUGUGCCAGCUCAAUAGUGAGCAUUGGGAGUUCUGUUCAAGUGGAAAUCAGAGAAGACCUGUCCAUCACUGCUCAAAGAUAGAGGAGCUUAUUUAUUUGGACAUUCUACCCAACACAAGUGUCAAGGUAGUAGUAACGUGUCCACUUGGAGCCCAAAGCAGGUGCCUGCUCGAAGACAACUCCACCCUGCAAACCCUUUUCCCCUCCGGCCACCAAAUUAUGAAAUAAUAAUGCCGAGACCGUCAAGAGCAGGGUCAAGCAAAUGAUGUCAAGGACCCUGACAAGAAGGCAUGAAUGGCUCAACACAGAAAGAGACGUAUUUCAGUGGCAAUUGGCUACUGGACACUGUGUUCGUGCUCUCCUUGCAUUAUUAGCCCAUUUAAAGCUCGUAUCAGCUCCAGGGACAACGACCAGCAAAUCUUACCCAAUGGAGACACAACACUGCUAUUCACACCGAGUAUCCUCCCUUUCAUUCCUUAGACAGUCUACACCUGCACAUGUGCUCCUUUGUAAACUGAAGGUGAACCCGGUAAGCAAUAAACAGUAUGGACCUUCUAAUCAUUUCUCUAGUACUGAUGAAGUCUGCGGGUGGAAGGACGGAGUGACCCAGAAGAAGUAUGGUGCAAGCAUGGGAUUUUUGAUGGCUAUUGAACUGCUUGGCUCUGCUCUCAGUUUCCAUUGAUUUCUUGGCGUUGACAGGAUCUACUACUGCGAUGCUUUGUUUCAGAGAGCCACUUUUUUGUUUUUUGGCUUUUUUUUUUUUUUUUGAGAGCCAGUGUUUUAUUUUCCCUGCUGCGGCAUGUCCCUGGUGCAUAGGUCAUUUCCUGGAGACCUCAUCGUAGCCAGGAAACAGCCAAGAGUGAAGAAAUAAGCCAAAAUACCUCCAAGCAACUAAAAUAGAUAAUGGCCAAGUCUCCACUGUCCAAACACUUCAUAAAGAGGAAAGCCCUUUGGAGUUCUCUGCACAUAGUUCUAGUAAGCUCUAUUGUGUGAUUUUCUGGCAAAGCACUUUAAACAGCACGUGUGUUGGGAGGUUAGGAAAGAAGAGUUGCCAAAGGCUGGGACACUGGCAGCUAUGAAAAUGACAUCUGAUAGACUGCAAGAGAGAAAAAGACCAAAGAACAAAAAGAAAAGAAAAGAAAACCUAUAAAAACAGGAAUCAAGGAAUCAAAACUCAGAGAUGGGAUCAUGCCACAGAGAGGCAAACACCCCAUACGUGACCACUGGAUUCCCGCGUGGGAGAGAAAUUGACAUCCACCCGGAAGCCUGAGAUAAAAAGACUGGAACAAGGUAUGCUCAGCAAACUGUUGGAGAAGGCGGGAAGUAUGUGAUACAUUUUAGAAAGAUUUCUAGACAAAAUAGUUUUGCUACUGUUUUUGUGUUUAAAUGCGUAAAGUUCAGGGAGGGGAAAAAAGAUCUUUUACUUUUUAAGCAGUUAAAAAAAAAACAACCCUGUAACAGAAAAAAGAAAAUCGAUCCGGAAGUCAUUUAAAUAGGCCAGGUCUUCCCUAACCUGCUGGAUACAUUAGGCAUUCCCGUCUUUCAAACAAAGCAUGAAAAUCUCUUUAGAAGUGUCAUGUUCUGCAAAUAUCACUAUAACAGCGAUAAUAUGAUUCCCGAAGGAGAGAGACACACACAGAGAGACAGAGUUUUUUCCCAGCCACCUAUGCUCUGGAUGUUGACCUAGUUAUUAACAUAAUUCAUUCGGCUUUAACUUUACUUAUCAUUCAUCAGACUUACUUCCCAUGCACCUAGGUAAUAUUCCUAAUUUUCAUUUUGAUGGCUGCCAUGGCAGGUGGCAUGCCAUAUUCCAUGAUUCUAAAUGACUUCCAAUUUUACUAAUUAUCCAUAAGCAAUAAAGGAAGGAAGGAAGGAAGGAAGGA